CCGCGUGAGGGAUGACGGCCUUCGGGUUGUAAACCUCUUUUAGCAGGGAAGAAGCGAAAGUGACGGUACCUGCAGAAAAAGCGCCGGCUAACUACGUGCCAGCAGCCGCGGUAAUACGUAGGGCGCAAGCGUUAUCCGGAAUUAUUGGGCGUAAAGAGCUCGUAGGCGGUUUGUCGCGUCUGCUGUGAAAUCCCGAGGCUCAACCUCGGGUCUGCAGUGGGUACGGGCAGACUAGAGUGCGGUAGGGGAGAUUGGAAUUCCUGGUGUAGCGGUGGAAUGCGCAGAUAUCAGGAGGAACACCGAUGGCGAAGGCAGAUCUCUGGGCCGUAACUGACGCUGAGGAGCGAAAGGGUGGGGAGCAAACAGGCUUAGAUACCCUGGUAGUCCACCCCGUAAACGUUGGGAACUAGUUGUGGGGUCCAUUCCACGGAUUCCGUGACGCAGCUAACGCAUUAAGUUCCCCGCCUGGGGAGUACGGCCGCAAGGCUAAAACUCAAAGGAAUUGACGGGGACCCGCACAAGCGGCGGAGCAUGCGGAUUAAUUCGAUGCAACGCGAAGAACCUUACCAAGGCUUGACAUACACGAGAACGCUGCAGAAAUGUAGAACUCUUUGGACACUCGUGAACAGGUGGUGCAUGGUUGUCGUCAGCUCGUGUCGUGAGAUGUUGGGUUAAGUCCCGCAACGAGCGCAACCCUCGUUCUAUGUUGCCAGCACGUAAUGGUGGGAACUCAUGGGAUACUGCCGGGGUCAACUCGGAGGAAGGUGGGGAUGACGUCAAAUCAUCAUGCCCCUUA
rnacentral:rRNA from 1 species